GUGGGGAAUCUUCCGCAAUGGACGAAAGUCUGACGGAGCAACGCCGCGUGAGUGAAGAAGGUUUUCGGAUCGUAAAGCUCUUUCGUUAGGGACGAACGUGCUCUUUGUGAAUAAUGAGGAGUAAUGACGGUACCUAAAUAAGAAGCCACGGCUAACUACGUGCCAGCAGCCGCGGUAAUACGAAGGUGGCAAGCGUUGUCCGGAAUUAUUGGGCGUAAAGCGCGCGCAGGCGGGAUAUCAAGUCUGUCUUAAAAGUGCGAGGCUCAACCUCGUGAGGGGACAGAAACUGGUAUUCUUGAGUGUCGGAGAGGAAAGUGGAAUUCCAAGUGUAGCGGUGAAAUGCGUAGAGAUUUGGAAGAACACCAGUGGCGAAGGCGACUUUCUGGACGAUGUCUGACGCUGAGGCGCGAAAGCUAGGGGAGCGAACGGGAUUAGAUACCCGGGUAGUCC
rnacentral:rRNA from 1 species